UCAUUCAGAAAGUGAACUGAUGGGCUGUUUAUGCAGCCAGGGUCAAGAGUCAGUGAUUUCAGACUGUGGUUGGUAGUUACUCAAACCAUGGCAGGCAUACAUCUAGCCAUACUGGCACAAGUCAAAGGACAACGUCAUGCAUUUGGUGGCCGGGUGGUCUGGUAGACAGAGCAGACAAUGGAGGGCCCUGGAGGACCGGUUGGCUUUAUUUGCUCCACCCCUGGAGGACCUGGAGGGGCUUUAUUUGCUAGGAUGAUGUCAAAUGAGCACAAGGUGAUGGACAAGAUCCCACCCAAGUGCCUGGCCCAGACUUAGAAGGGGAACUGGUGGGGACGCCAGAGGGGUGGGAGGAGCCAGAAGAAGCGUGCAGCAGAGAUGGGGGCCAAGCCUGGCUCCUCGCAGGUGGGACAGGUGGGGAUGGAGGCUGCCCACCUUGAUGCGGUCCUUCUCUUUCUGCCACUUCUCAGCUUCGUCUUCAAUCUCGAUGAUCUUGAGCUGCAGCUGUUCCUUCUGCAGCGACAGCUCUGUCUGCAGGGAAGGAGCCAAGGUUGGAGAAGUCGGGGAGGAGGAGCACCAGAGAAUCCAGGAGUGGACCCACCCAGGGGGCCGGCUUGGGCAAGGUUCGCCACCCAGCCCUGUGGCCUCCAUUCUGCAGACAUUCAUCGGGACCCUAGACUCAGAAACGAAGGCCUAAGAAGAUGACGUACCUUGCCCGAGUUCUCACAACUAGAAAGCGGCUGCGGCCAAGAUACAACAAAGGACUCAGGUCGUAAUAAAUAAACUUCGUUUUGAAAAAUGGUAGCGAGGAAACAGCCACCGGAACAGUCCGAACCCCAGCUCUGCCGCUCUGCACUGUGACUUCAGGCGAGUGCUCCCCCAUUCAUGCCUCUCCAGGCUGCCGACCCAGAGCCCAGGCCAGACCCAUGCCAGGGCCACACAGCUGGCGGUGCAGAGGCCGGGCAGGUCACCCUCGAGCAGACAGCCAUGGGCCAGGAGGAGUCCUCUCUCCCGAGUCGAUGCAGCAGGAGGGACUUGGGAUAAGACAGGAGGCGGGCCGUGAGACACAGAAAAGGAGGGAUAUGUACAAUGUAAUCUCAUCAGCCUAUUCCAGCCCGUCCAGAGGCAGGAGGGCAGACCGGAGGACAUCUGUGGAGCGGGACUAGAACAUUCUGGUCUUGGAUCCACCAGAGGAAGGACUGUCAUGCUUCCGCAUCAAGUGGCCUUUUCCCCAACACUGCCUCCGCUCAGAGGCUCCAGGGAGAGUUGAAACCCAGGAGAUGAGCACCCCCGCAGCCCUGGGUGUCCUUUGCAGCCUAAUGCAACCAUUCAAGGUAGGUCUAAGAUGACCUCACCUGGGCCUUCACCAGCCGGCCUGCAGAACAGGUUCUGGACAGGGCUCCUUGCAAAAAAAACCUGUGUGUGGGUUGACGUUUGGGUCUGCAGGGGAUGCCUCCAAAGGACGCCGGGAUUGACACGCUUAUUCAUUUCAAUCAGUCAACCCACUAACCCCGCUCUGUGCCAACGUCCCCCACGUCUGACAUUCCAGCAGAGCCAGGCCUAGACAAACAGCCGUGCUCCAGCUCAGCCUCCUGGCUGGCCCACACCACUCCCUGCCUACCCCCUUGGCUGCUGGUGCACGCUCGUGCACACGCGCACACACACGCUGUCUGAAGUUCCCACCGUUAGUCACUCCGGCGGAUCAGACAUUUUCCUCUGAAAGCCCCUGUAAAGCACGCGUAUCCUGGAUCCCAUCCCCUCAAGGCCCUGCCUCUCAGUUGCUCUCAAAUCUUGGAAGAGAAUUAGGGGGCUUCUUCCUCUACAUGCUGGCACAGAUCCCUUCCU